UACAGAGGGUGCGAGCGUUAAUCGGAAUUACUGGGCGUAAAGCGCACGUAGGUGGCGACGUAAGUCGGGUGUGAAAGCCCCGGGCUCAACCUGGGAAUUGCAUUCGAGACUGCAUUGCUGGAGUACGGAAGAGGAAGGCGGAAUUCCCGGUGUAGCGGUGAAAUGCGUAGAUAUCGGGAGGAACAUCAGUGGCGAAGGCGGCCUUCUGGUCCAGUACUGACACUCAAGUGCGAAAGCGUGAGGAGCAAACAGG
rnacentral:rRNA from 1 species